UACGUAGGGUGCAAGCGUUUAAUCGGAAUUACUGGGCGUAAAGCGUGCGCAGGCGGUUUUGUAAGUCAGAUGUGAAAUCCCCGAGCUCAACUUGGGAACUGCGUUUGAAACUACAAGACUAGAAUAUGUCAGAGGAGGGUAGAAUUCCACGUGUAGCAGUGAAAUGCGUAGAGAUGUGGAGGAAUACCAAUGGCGAAGGCAGCCCCCUGGGAUAAUAUUGACGCUCAUGCACGAAAGCGUGGGGAGCAAACAGG
rnacentral:rRNA from 1 species